ACCAACCUAAGGUGCCACUACUAAUGACAAGUGACCCGGAUUAUCAACCCGGGGCGGGUGGUCCUCUCUACUCCAUACAAUGGGCUGCUCUGACCAACGAAAGUAACGUGGAAUUGCCGGCUCAACAGCAUUAACGGCCCUCUUGUGGAGCUUCUGGUCUCUUUUACACAAACUGGUAGUAAAGACAUGAUACUAUCCGCUACUCAAGUGCUUCGGGUUGCUCUGAUAGCCGGAUUGCUGCUGCUGUUGAUUCCCUUGGCCAUGUUGCUGAUUAUAUCCCCCCUGGUGACCAGGAUGACCAUGAAAACCUCCUCUGCUUGAACCGGCGCCCGGGCCCUGAAAGCCGCCUGAGCCGCCACCCGGACCGUGACCCCCAUCAAACGCGUUUGAAUUUUUAAAUGCCUUCAUGAUCGUACAAUCAUUCCAUAAGUGGGUAGCUGGCUUCUCCCUGGUGCCGUGUCUGGGACAAGGUUCAUUCAACAGCUACUCAAGGGUGGGGCCUGACCCGCCCGAUCGAGGGGGCUGUCUGCCCUUGCGCCGCUGAUUACCACCAUGUGCAUUAGUAUUAGCAACAAACUCAUCAGCCUUACGCUUAUUACCUCCUUGAUUUGCCGGGUUAUGCUGGUGACCCUUGCCACUGUCGUUCUUCUUUCCCUUUGUUGCCUUUUCUUCAUCAGACGCCGGGUCUUUAGUGAUAUUAGAAUCGGCAUACUUGACAAGAGCCGCCAUCAACGUUCACAUGUCAUUACAGUCUCGUUUAAGCCGCCCCAACUUCUGUUUCAGAGGCUCAAACGGUAAUUCUUCUCCAACAUCAAAACUGCUGAGUCGGCGUCCAUUUUGUCAGACGAAUGUAUUAUCUCCUUGACCCGGCGCACCCAAUGAGUCGUAGAUUCUCCAUCUUCUUGCUUGCAAUUGGUCAGGUCCACAAUUGACAUUGGCUAUUUACACGUGUCCUUAAAGUUCUAGAUGAACCGUGCCUUUAACUCUACCCAUGAGCCGAUGGAAUUGGGUGGCAAUCCUUUCAGCCAGGUCAGAGCCAUUCCAUCCAACAUCAUGGUAAAGUACUUGGCCAUUGCAGCAUCACUAACUUCCAACAUCUCCAUAGCCAUCUCAUAACUCUCAAUCCAAGCCCCCGGCUGUAAGUCAGCCAUGUAGUUAGGUACCUUACGAGGUCCCUUGAAAUCCUUGGGCAAUCGUUCGUUGCGUAUGGCUGGGACCAGGCAAGGUACACCUCCGGUUCUUGUAACCACUCCUGCCUCAACCGACGUUGCUGGAUAAGCCGGAAAGGUUUGGUGAGCUGCCUGCUCUGCUGCUAUCUGAGCCGCCCGCUCCGCCUCUUGACGAAUCCUCUCCUGAUCCGCCAAGUUAAGGGCUCCAGCUCGCACCGGCUCAUGCCUAUAUGGCCGAUUGUGGCGUUGAGCAUUACUCGACAUCUCUGCAGACUCCAUAUGCCUACUGUAACUCAGGCUCUGGCUUGGGCGAGGAGUUGAAUGAAUCCUGCCUCGACUGUAGGAGUAUGCGUCCUGUUGGGCCAAAGCUGUCUGAAGCAGUUCUCUUACCCUCCGGGUCUCAAUUGCUGCUGGCGAGUCGCCUUCCAUUGGGAGAGCCGCCAAACGAGCCGAUGCUGCAAUGAGGUUCUCCAUGGGGUUGGAGAAGUGACCCGGGGGUGUUGAUAUAUAACGAGGAGGAGUUGUAUUCAUGCGCGGUGGCUCCAUGGUGCGUGGCUGAACUAGUGCUCCGGGCGUGUCGACCCGGUUUACCUCCGGCGGGUUGCUCCCUCCAGCUCCGGGUGUAUGGAACAGAUUCCUGGGAUCCAGUGUUAGAGGCAGAAACAACUGAGUUUUCUGACGCCUCCUCCUCGUGACUUCGUUUGAUGCAUUAAGAUCCACAAAGAGCCGGAAGGUUUCUGCUUGAAGCUGCUGAGCACGAGCAUCCAAAGCUGCUCGUUCUGCUGCCAUCCGGGUUUCCUCCGCAGCCAAAUUUUCCUUAGCCUGCACCAUCUCCUCCCGCACGCGUGCUACUUCCGCUUCAUGAUGGGCUUUAUCCACCGGCUCUACCACAACGGUUAAAAGAGUCGUCAGUUUAUCCAUGAGGUCCAUGAGAACCUGAGCCGAGGGGCGCGCGGGGUCUCCUGACCCGGCAGCUGCCGACCCGGUGGCGACCGCUUUCGCUGCGGUGGAGUUCUGUCCGGGCUACAUCCCUGCCAUGAAGACUCCGGCCCAAUUUGGCGGCUCAAGCGGGUCCGGAAUACUGCUGCCAUCGGAAUAGCCCCCGAGCAUGUCAUCUUGCAGUUGGUACAAUGAGUCCGUCUCACCCGUUGAAGAUGCAGUAUCAGAGCAGAUGGCCGUCUCCCCACCUUCCAUCGAUCCUUCGGAGUAUUCACUGCCAUGGACGCAGCCUACGAAGGCAUGCUUCAUGACAGAUUGAACACGGGCGGACCCGACACGCUGAGCCGUUUCGAUGAGGUCAGUGUAGACAUCCGGCUCAGGGCCUAACUCGCCGAUCCGGCCGAUGAAGACGUGGAUUCCGCCGAAGGGGACCUGGUACCCGUACUCGAUUGAGCCGGCCUCGGGGCCCCAGCCUUGUCGCCGAUGUAGAUCUUGCCGCGAUGACUCUUGGUCAUCCGGCCCACAGCGUAUCCCUUGAGCCCUUCGAAGUUUCCCUUCAAGAACUCAAAUCCACUGUGCGCUGGCCCCACGGUGGGCGCCAACUGUCGUGGAAUUUUCACAGAAGAUGUCCUAGAGCAAGGACUUAGUCGUAGGGCCAUCGCACUAGGAAGCUUAAAGGGGUUAAUCGGGACAAAGGACACGAGAGAGUUUUAUACUAGUUCGGCCCCUUACGAUGAAGGUAAAAGCCUACGUAUAGUUGGGUUUGGUAUUGCUGGGGUUUCGAUUACCAAGAGGCUUAACUCCCCGGCUUGGUUAUCGAAUUGUUGUUUCUUGCCCUAAACCGCCACCGGGUCGUCCCCUUAUAUACACGGGUUGACGUCUGGUGGCUUACAGAGUCCCGGCCGGCUCAUAAUCGUGUCCGGCUCGGUGACUUCCUCAACAUGCCUUUCUUUACAAGUCUUUCCGUUCCUAUAGCGGUUUACAAUAACGGGCUUUUAAGCCGGCCCAAGGCCUUUGGGCUUUCUACAUAUACUAAUAAACUAUCAUCUUGACUGUAUAUUGGGCUUCUUAUGUAACCCGCCAUUAAGGCUGACCCGGCCCCUCCUGGGCGGGUCUCAGCUGAUAAUAAUAUCCCCAACAGGUGUCGCAAGCUUACUCAAAACAGAAGGUGAAUUAAGUGCAGAGCUAGAUGGCAAUUCCUUACCUCCCCUCGUAGUUGAGGGAUAAAUCUUGGUUUUUGGAUCUCUCAAGUUCUUCAUAAUGAUAAGCAGAUAUAAAUCCCAAGUGACUCAAAGAAUAGAGCUAUGCUCCCCGACAACGGCGCCAGAAAAUAGUCUUGAUAACCCACAAGUAUAGGGGAUUGCAACAGUUUUCGAUGGUAGUAUUCAACCCAAAUUUAUUGAUUCGACACAAGGGGAGCCAAAGAAUAUUCUCAAGUAUUAGCAGCUGAGUUGUCAAUUCAACCACACAUGGAAACUUAAUAUCUGCAGCAAAGUGUUUAGUAGCAAAGUAAUAUGAUAGUAGUGGUAAUGAUAGCAAAAAAUAAUGGUAGCAAAAGUAGUGUUUUUGGUAUUUUGUAGUGAUGAUAGCAAUAGCAACGCAAAAGUAAAUAAGCGAAGAACAAUAUAUGAAAAGCGCGUAGGCAAUGGAUCGGUGAUAGAGAAUUAUGCCGAAUGCGGUUUAUCAUGUAACAUUCAUAACCUAGGGUGACACAAAACUAGCUCCAAUUCAUCAAUGUAAUGUAGGCAUGUAUUCCGAAUAUAGUCAUACGUGCUUAUGGAAAAGAACUUGCAUGACAUCUUUUGUCCUACCCUUUCGUGGCAGCGGGGUCCUAAUCUUAUCUUAUAUAUAUAUUUACUAAUUGGAGGCACCAUUGGAUUUACCACGUUAAUCCUAGAAAACCAUGUAAAAAUAUCCUUAGGAUCUCAAUUCUACGGUUAGGAUCAAAUAAUAGAUCAAAUAGUCCUUCCUGGAAAAAAAAACAGAUCAAGGAGUCAUACCUUUCCACGUUGGAGAUAUAUCUUUCUAAGUUUGGUCUUCUUCACGUAUUGCUACAUCCUUAGGAUCUCAAUUUUAUGGUUAGGAUCAAAUAUGAGAUCAAUAACUUACUAUCUUUACACGUUAACAGAUCAAAGAGUUAUAUCUUUCCAUGUUUGGACUCCUACAUGCAUCGCUAUAUCCUUAGGAUCUCAAUUCUAUGGUUAGGAUCAAAUAACAGAUCAAAAAGUUAUAAGAUCGAUCGAUCUCUGAUUCUGCAUUGUCGAUCCAUAGUUCAUCCUAGAAGUUUUACAACUACGAUCGUCCGAUAAAUUGUAGGAAAAAUCGAGAUAGCUAUAAUCUUCUCGGCUCAGAUUUUUCCAUCGAAAACAGUCCUUCCUUCUCCCGAGGUUCCAUCCUCAAGCACUUAUACUCCCGCAACAAGAAUAUUUUUCUUUCUCACGCAUCUCCUCCAUCGUGCCAGCGGUUUGAUCUAGUAGCCCUCAGAUUUUCCUUAUGGAGAAGCAAACUUUCCUCCUCACGAGGUCCCUGCUCAAGCCCAUCUCCUCUGGCAGCAGGCACGUUUACCCCUUUUCUUCCGCAUCUCCUCCAUUGAGCCUGCUGUUUAAACAAGUAGCCACCGUUCUCUUAUCUUCCCUCACUGCCCGCCAGCUGCGGUCUGUGCCACCUUGACUUCAUGAUUAAACCUGAAUGACAUCUUUGCCUGUCCAUGUUUGUUUUCCUAUAAAGAUAGAAAUCUAACGUGCUUUCUCACGCGACUCCCUGUGUGAUCACUCUCUCCUAUGUUCUAGGGUUUGUAAUUUUCAUUAUGUACCGCCAACAUCAUCGUGGCAAAUGGAACUUGGUAGGCAACCACAGUGCUGGUGGGUGGCUGCGUAAUGUAUGCUGGGUACAGAACUGUGUACUUCCAAUUGCAUAUUAGCGGCCAGCGUUUAGUAGGUAAGCAUAUUAGUGGCGAGCGUUUUGAUUUGGAGUACGGAACGGUGGAUGCAUUAGCAUAAUCGCUGAGGUACUUAUUACUACAGCACCCAUUCAUAUGCACGUACAGUUUAUUUUUUUGGAGGAGCACGUAGAGACUUUUGCUUCAUUAAUUCGUAGCUUUUGGUUGUCGCCUCCAUCUAUAAUCAGUCCGCUGUUGCGCGCAGAAGUCUUAUACUUCCCCUUCCACCCGAAAUCUCAUAUUAAUAUCCCCCUUUUGUUUCGCUUUUACUGUCAAUAAAAAGGUGGAAGCUGACCUAAAUUCCUCAUGAUUAUUUUGAUCACAAUUGAUCAGUACGAUUCCAGCAGGAAUUGCAUGGAUAUCUUAGUUUGGAUGCAACAAAAAAAAUACAGCUCUUCGAAUGUAUAUCUGAUGCUAUGGCUUUGCUACAUCGAGCUAUAGUUCGAAUUUAGUGAUCUUUGGAUUUUGAUUAUGUGUUCAUAAUUUUGUACGACUACCUGAAUUAGAAGUAUUUUUCUCAUUAUUUGGCUAUUGCAUCUAUUUUCUCUACCGAUUCUACACCACCAGUUCCGACGAUGAUCUUCACAUAUCCUAUAAUAUAACUUCCCACACAGGUUAAUCUUACAAAGAAAAGAAGUCGUAGAAAUUUUGGAGUGAAGGUUACAUGUAAGAUGAAUAUGCGUGUGACUACAUCUAUCUAUCUUCAUUUAUCACAUACAUAUUACGCAGUGUCCUGGGUCACUAAAUUUAAUUAUCUUCUCAACGUGGUCGGCAUUUUCAAUUUAUUAAUCGGACAUAGUAUCGAUUGUUCGAUGUGCUUCAUAAAAAAUCAAAUUGCGAGUGUAAUAUAACACAUACUUCAUCAGUUUGGAGCUUAACAUUACACGUCAUUAUCGCUGCCUCUUCUGCCUUCCAUUUCUUCUUACUUUCCUGUUGUAUUGCUUAAUAGAUGGCCAUGGAGAUCUUUCCUCAGUUUGACAAUGAAGCCAGAAGUCCGAUUUGUAUAUGAUAAUUCAUGAUGUACACAUUGCAAUAUACAUACAAAAUUUAUUGGUUUAUUUUUUCAAAUGACAAAGUAAACCAGUUAACGGAAUUUUAUAUUUGUAUACUACAUAUUAGUUCUUCAUCUGCCAUUAAGAUUUUGAUUAGAAUGUUUCAAACAUGGCACUUGAUGGGAAUAUCAUUAGGAUGAAGAUAGAUUAAUGUUAUAAUCCACUUACAAAUUUGUCCAGUUCUGUAACCGACAAGAUAGAUAUGUUUGAUUUACUUAUAGGUAAUUCUUUAUACACACUUUGAUUCCACAUCAACGAUGUCUUUACAAAUUAGCACAUAGGCAUCUAUGUAAUGCCGUGGAUCCAUUGUAAUUGAUGCAAUUUUUUGUUGAAAUCUUCUAUCUUAUUUGUUCUAUAUCAGGAAAUAUAACCAAUUUCAGCCAUUGUUUUGCAAACCUGAAAUAUGUGAACUUCGAAGUUUCUCUUUUAUAAUGUGCUUUGAUGCAAUGAUCUUACAUUACGAUUUCAAUCGUGGUUACGUGAUGAUGGUAUAGUUUUUAUUUUCGAUGCAUGUGUUCGAUCCUAGAGGAGUGACCUUGGGCCAUCUUUUGCUAUGGAAACAAAAGAUAUCUUCACACUUGACGGCAAGGCAAUGGCAUUUCCUCCCAUGAAGAAGGUCUAGAAAGCUACAACUUUCUGAACACCGGAUUGUUCUUGAAGAGAUGAAAUAAUCACUUGGCUUGGUUUCAUGGAACCAACAUGACUAAAUUUGAUACUUCUACUUCUACUUAAUGUGGGAUAGUUAUAAUUUCUUUUCGGUAUGUGCCAUUGUACGUAGUCAUUUCACUUGAAGCAUUUUAGUGUUGGUUAAAGUUGGAUGGUUGCAAUGAUGUAGAAUGAAGAUUAAUUGCAGCUACAUAUUAUGAAAUAAAACUUAAUUCAUUUGUUUCAUUGUUCAACAUAUUUCUUUAUUAUUGUACUAUUUAUAGAAGAAUAGAUAUGAUGUAUUGAAUACCAUUGUACCUUUUUAAUCAUGUGAUUCUCUAAAUUAUGACUGAUAUAAAUGUUAUAAAUCAAAAAAGGAAAAUAAAAUGUAAAUUAGUUCUAGCCCGUGCAGGUGCACGGGUUGUUGACUAGUGGAUACUAAGGGAUAUUAAGGCCUCCUUUUAAUUGAGUACCGGACCAAAGCAUUAACACAUAGUGAAUACAUGAACUCCUCAAACUACGGUCAUCACCGGGAGUGGUCCCGAUUAUUGUCACUUCGGAGUUGCCGGAUCAUAACACAUAGUAGGUGACUAUAGACUUGCAAGAUAGGAUCAAGAACUCACAUAUAUUCAUGAAAACAUAAUAGGUUCAGAUCUGAAAUCAUGGCACUCGGGCCCUAGUGUCAAGCAUUAAGCAUAGCAAAGUCAUAGCAACAUCAAUCUCAGAACAUAGUGGAUACUAGGGAUCAAACCCUAACAAAACUAACUCGAUUACAUGAUAAAUCUCAUCUAACCCAUCACCGUCCAGCAAGCCUACGAUGGAAUUACUCACGCACGGCGGUGAGCACCAUGAAAUUGGUGAUGGAGGAUGGUUGAUGAUGACGAUGGCGACGGAUUCCCCUCUCCGGAGCCCCGAACGGACUCCAGAUCAGCCCUCCCGAGAGGUUUUAGGGCUUGGCGGCGGCUCUGUAUCGUAAAACGCGAUGAAUCCUUCUCUCUUAUUUGUUCCCCCCGAAAGCAAAUAUAUAGAGUUGGAGUUGAGGUCGGAGGAGCUCCAGGGGGCCCACGAGGUAGGGGGCGCGUCCUGGGGGGGCAGACGCGCCCCCCACCCUCGUGGCUAGGGUGUGGGCCCCUGUUCUUCAUCUUUUGCAAGGAUUUUUUAUUAUUUCCAAAAAGAUGUUUCGUGAAGUUUCAGGUCAUUUCGAGAACUUCUGUUUCUGCACAUAAAUAACACCAUAGUAAUUCUGCUGAAAAUAACGUCAGUCCGGGUUAGUUUCAUUCAAAUCAUGCAAGUUAGAGUGCAAAACAAGGGCAAAAGUGUUUGGAAAAGUAGAUACGACGGAGACGUAUCAGUUUUCUUCAAGUUCAAGGAGUUGACUACGAUGAGACCUUCUCACUCGUAGCGAUGCUUAAGUCCGUCCGAAUCAUGUUAGCAAUUGCCGCAAUUUAUGAUUAUGAAAUUUGGCAAAUGGAUGUAAAGACUGCAUUCCUGAAUGGAUUUAUGGAAGAAGAGUUGUAUAUGAUGCAAUCUGAAGGUUUUAUCAAUCCAAAGGGUGCUAACAAAGUAUGCAAGCUCCAGCGAUCCAUCUAUUGACUGGUACAAGCAUCUCGGAGUUGGAAUAAACGUUUUGAUAGUGUGAUCAAAGCAUAUGGUUUUAUACAGACUUUUGGAGAAGCCUGUAUUUAUAAGAAAGUGAGUGGGAGCUCUGUAGCAUUUCUAAUAUUAUAUGUGGAUGACAUAUUGCUGAUUGGAAAUUAUAUAGAAUUUCUGGAUAGCAUAAAAGGAUACUUGAAUAAGAGUUUUUCAAUGGAAGACCUCGGUGAAGUUUCUUAUAUAUUGGGCAUCAAAAUCUAUAGAGAUAGAUCAAGAAACAUAAUUGGACUUUCACAAAGCACAUACCUUGAUAAAGUUUUGAAGAAGUUCAAAAUGGAUCAAGCAAAGAAAGGGUUCUUGCCUGUGUUACAAGGUGUGAAGUUGAGUCAGACUCAAUGCCCGACCACUGCAGAAGAUAGAGAGAAAAUGAAAGAUGUUCCCUAUACUUCAGCCAUAGGCUCUAUCAUGUAUGCAAUGUUGUGUACCAGACCUGAUGUGUGCCUUGCUAUUAGUUUAGCGGGGUGGUACCAAAGUAAUCCAGGAGUGGAUCACUACACAGCGGUCAAGAACAUCCUGAUAUACCUGAAAAGGACUAAGGAUAUGUUUCUCGUUCAUGGAGGUGACAAAGAGCUCAUCAUAAAUGGUUACGUCGAUGCAAGCGUUGACACUGAUCCAGAUGACUCUAAGUCACAAACCGGACACGUAUUUUUAUUGAACGGUGGAGCUGUCAGUUGAUGCAGUUCUAAGCAAAGCGUCAUGGCGGGAUCUAUUUGUGAAGUGGAGUACAUAGCUGCUUCAGUAGCAGCAAAUGAAGGAGUCUGGAUGAAGGAGUUCAUAUCUGACCUAGGUGUCAUACCUAGUGCGUCGGGUCUAAUGAAAAUCUUUUGUGACAAUACUGGUGCAAUUGCCUUGGCAAAGGAAUCCAGAUUUCACAAAAGAACCAAGCACAUCAAGAGACACUUCAAUUCCAUCCGCGGUCAAGUCAAGGAAGGAGACAUAGAGAUUUGCAAGAUACAUACGGAUCUGAAUGUUGCAGACCCGUUGACUAAGCCUCUCCCACGAGCAAAAGAUGAUCAGCACCAAGACUCCAUGGGUGUUGGAAUCAUUACUGUGUAAUCUAGAUUAUUAACUCUAGUGCAAGUGGGAGAGUGAAGGAAAUAUUCCCUAGAGGCAAUAAUAAAGUUGUUAUUUAUAUUUCCUUAUAUCAUGAUAAAUGUUUAUUAUUCAUGCUAGAAUUGUAUUAACCGGAAACUUAGUACAUGUGUGAAUACAUAGACAAACAGAGAGUCACUAGUUUGCCUCUACUUGACUAUCUCAUUGAAUCAAUGAUGGUUAUGUUUCCUAACCAUAGACAUGAGUUGUCAUUUGAUUAACGGGAUUACAUCAUUAGAUAAUGAUGUGACUGACUUGACCCAUUCCAUUAUCUUAGCAUGAUGAUCGUUUAGUUUGCUACUAUUGCUUUCUUCAUGACUUAUACAUGUUACUAUGACUAUGAGAUUAUGCAACUCCCGAGUACAUGAGGAACACUUUGUGUGCUACCAAACAUCACAACAUAACUGGGUGAUUAUAAAGGUGCUCUACAGGUGUCUCCGAUGGUACUUGUUGAGUUGGCAUAGAUCGAGAUUAGGAUUUGUCACUCCGAUUGUUGGAGAGGUAUCUCUGGGCCCUCUCGGUAAUGCACAUCACUAUAAGCCUUGCAAGCAUUUUGACUAAUGAGUUAGUUGCGGGAUGAUGUAUUAUGGAACGAGUAAAGAGACUUGCCCGUAACAAGAUUGAACUAGGUAUGAGGAUAUCGACGAUCGAAUCUCGGGCAAGUAACAUACCGAUGACAAAGGGAACAACGUAUGUUGUUAUGCGGUUUGACCGAUAAAGAUCUUCAUAGAAUAUGUAGGAACCAAUAUGAGCAUCCAGGUUCCGCUAUUGGUUAUUGACCGGAGACGAGUCUCGGUCAUGUCUACAUAGUUCUCGAACCCGUAGGGUCCGCAUGCUUAAAGUUCAGUGACGAUCGGUAUUAUGAGUUUAUGUGUUUUGAUGUACCGAAGGUAGUUCGGAGUCCGGAUGUGAUCGCGGACAUGAUGAUGAGUCUCGAAAUGGUCGAGACGUAAAGAUUGAUAUAUUGGACGGCUAUAUUCGGACACCGGAAGUGUUCCGGAUGGUUUCGAAGAAAACCGGAGUGCCUAAUUGGUUAGCGGAACCCCCUCUCCCCCCCCCGGGGGGGGAGUAUUGGGCCUUAGUGGGCCUGAGGGGAGAGAGAGGGCUGCAGCCCAGGAGGUGGCGCGCCCCCUCCCAUGAGUCCGAAUUGGACUAGGGGAGGGGGGCGCGGCCCCUCUUUCCCUCUCCCUCUCCCUCUCCCUCUCUUUCCUUCCCCCUUUCCCCCUUCCUAGUAGGACUAGGAAAGGAUCAAUCCUACUCCUACUAGGAGGAGGAUUCCUCCUCUCCUUGGGGCGCACCAAGGCCAGCCGGCCUCCCCCCUUGCUCCUUUAUAUACGGGGCCGGGGGGGCACCCAAAGACACACAAGUUGAUUGUUCCAAGCCGUGUGCGGUGCCCCCCUCCACCAUAAUCCACCUCGAUCAUAUCAUAGUGGUGCUUAGGCGAAGCCCUGCGUCGGUAGCAACAUCAUCACCGUCAUCACACCAUCGUGCUAACGAAAGUCUCCCGCGAAGCUCUGCUGGAUCAGAGUUCAUGGGACGUCAUCGAGCUGAACGUGUGCUGAACUCGGAGGUGUCGUACGUUCGGUACUUGCAUCAGUCGGAUUGUGAAGACGUACGACUACAUCAACCGUGUUCUCAUAACGUUUCCGCUUACGGUCUACGAGGGUACGUGGACGAUACUCUCCCCUCUCAUUGCUAUGCAUCACCAUAAUCUUGCGUGUGCGUAGGAAUUUUUUUGAAAUUACUACGUUCCUCAACACCAGCAUACUACUCACUCCAUUCCUAAAUAUUUGUAUUUUUAGAGAUUUCAAAUGUACUACCAUAUACUGAUGUAUAUAUACAUACUUUAACGUGUAGAUUCACUCAUUUUGCUUCGUAUGUAGUCACUUGUUGAAAUAUCUAAAAAGACAAAUAUUUAGGAACGGAGUACUAGUUAAUAGGCGUAGGAGACAUCAGGAUUUAGGUUAACUAAAGAGGGUCAGAGGGUGCCCUCAAGGAUCCAAAUUUGCAUGUGUAUGGAUACUGAGAGGCUUGGUGGGAUUCCUAAAAAUUUUGUAUGCGCUGUGAGGGACAGUUCGCUUCUUUUACUGUUUUCGUAUUGGUUCAGGGACCGGACAUUAGGCCCUAUAGGGUGCUACAUUAAUAGAAGAAUAUUUUGUUACUAGUAACAUAAUAUAGUCCUAUACUCUUUAUAUAUUUUCAUGUUAUUUUUUCAUAGUUUUGUUUCAGUUGCAUAUGAAUUUGUACCUGCUUUUUAAAUAUGAAGAGCAUGCAAGAUAAGAUGAUGUAUCUUAGAGAAAAGUCCAUGUCACAACCCUUAACUUGCCACUCGAUUUAUCUAGUUAUUUGAUGAGUCAAAUCUGGUUAUCCAUCUUAGAAUCAUACUAGGCAAAAAAUACAAAGUUUGUUUAGUGAAAAUAAUGUCUAGAACAAUCUUCUCAUUUAUAGUGUGAUCUAUCAUAUAUUGACACACACAAGCUUACAUACUUAGCCCCACUCAAUCUAUGCAUAUCUGGAUAUGCCUAAUAUCAUGUGGAGCAUCACAAACUUAAUUCCAAAAGGAGGCAAAAUCUAGAUCAAUGUGUGUAGUGUAAAGUGAAAAAAAUGAGUCAUAGGUCGUUAUCAAGUAUGCCUUACAACUAAAUGAUAUGUGUAACAAAAAGCAACUAUCAUGAAUAAUCUAAAAUCACACAAGUAAAGUUGCCCCACCAACCACAACAUACCAAACGCUUAGUUGGAUAACCUUAUGAGCACUUUUCAGAAAGCAAGUGGAAAGAUGAAUGAAAUCAUACCAUGACAGCUAUAAAUACACCUUCAUCAUCAUAGCCACCUUUCAUCAUCCAAACUUCACGCACCAAGAUCAAAAACAUCUAUUCCAAGCAAGUAUUAGUAAUCAUAAACCCAACAUGAAGACCUUCCUCAUCUUCGUCCUCCUUGCCAUGGCGAUGAGCAUCGUCACUGCUGCUAGGCAGCUAAACCCUAGCAAGCAAGAGUUGCAAUCACCACAACAAUUAUAUCCGCAGCAACCAUAUCCACAGCAACCAUAUCCACCACAACAACCAUUUCCCACACCCCAACAAUAUUUCCCCCAUCAAUCACAACAACCAUUUUCCCCACCACAACAAUCAUUUCCCCAACCCCAACAAGCAACCCCCCUACAACCACAACAACCAUUCCCCCAGCAACCCCAACAACCACAACAAGCUUUUCCCCAACCCCAACAACAAUUUGCCUUGCAACCACAACAACAAUUUCCCCAGCUCCAACAACCACAACAAUCAUUCCCACAACAACCCCAGAGACCACACCCAUUCCCCCAACAACUAGAACAAGUAAUUUCACAGCAACCACAACAACCAUUCCUCCUGCAACCGCAACAACCAUUCCCCCAGCAANNNNNNNNNNNNNNNNNNNNNNNNNNNNNNNNNNNNNNNNNNNNNNNNNNNNNNNNNNNNNNNNNNNNNNNNNNNNNNNNNNNNNNNNNNNNNNNNNNNNNNNNNNNNNNNNNNNNNNNNNNNNNNNNNNNNNNNNNNNNNNNNNNNNNNNNNNNNNNNNNNNNNNNNNNNNNNNNNNNNNNNNNNNNNNNNNNNNNNNNNNNNNNNNNNNNNNNNNNNNNNNNNNNNNNNNNNNNNNNNNNNNNNNNNNNNNNNNNNNNNNNNNNNNNNNNNNNNNNNNNNNNNNNNNNNNNNNNNNNNNNNNNNNNNNNNNNNNNNNNNNNNNNNNNNNNNNNNNNNNNNNNNNNNNNNNNNNNNNNNNNNNNNNNNNNNNNNNNNNUAAAUCCCCAGCAACCCCAACAACCAUUUUCCCAGUCACGACAACCAUUUCCCCAGCAACCCCAACAACCAUUCCCACUGCAACCGCAACAACCAUUUCCCCAGCAAUCAGCACAAAUAAUUCCUCAGCAACCCCAACAACCAUUCCCUCUACAACCACAACAAUCAUUCCUUCGGCAAUCACAACAACCGUUCCUCCAACAACCACAACAACCAUCUCCCCAACCCCAACAAGUAGUACAAAUAAUUCCCCAGCAACCCCAACAACCAUUCCCUCUGCUGGCAAACCAACCUCAGCAACCUUAUCCACAACAGCAACCAUCAGGAGUAAUGGUAUAGGCAUCGGGGGCCAAGGAAAUGAAGAGCUAUAGUACUAGCCCGGCGGAUCAUCGUUGUUUAGUCAAUUGAGUGUUCAAUGUAACGAUGAUAAAUAAAGUGAUGUGUACCAUCAUGUGUAACCCCGACCUAUACUAGUUCAAACAUGAGAAUAAAAGACAAAGAAAGUUCUUGUCACAAGGACAUUGCUGGUAAUUAUUACAUUCAUGCCAUAUUUGGAUUUUCAUCCCAAAAUAUAAUUUGAGUCAUGUGCAUUAACUACCUAUUUAUGAAGUGAAGUCAUAUGAUCCUAACACAAUUAAUGAUUGUGAAACUUGGUUUAAUUGAAGUACUACCAAUUAAGGAGUAAUAAUUAAUUGCAUCUCUUUGGUGGCUAGCGAUGUGAAUUGUGUGACCUUAUUAUCUGAAAUGUUCUAGAUUGUACAUAGACACACUUUUUACAAUUGUUGAGG
rnacentral:lncRNA from 1 species